CCGUAGCUCAGUGGAUAGAGCACCGGACUUCUAAUCCGAUGGUCGCAGGUUCGAAUCCUGCCGGG
rnacentral:tRNA from 1 species